GGCUACCUGGCGCAAUGGUAGCGCGUUUGGCUUCGAUCGCCUACGUCACCAAAAGGUUGCAGGUUCGAGUCCUGCGGUGGUCA
rnacentral:tRNA from 1 species